CAGUUUUGGACACGAAUUUGGAGCCUCCGGGCUGGAAGGGUAAGAGGCGUGGGGCCCCAGCCGACCUUCCUGCGCCCGGAAUGUAAACUCAAAGGACUCCCGCCCCAAUCUCACACCGCGGGCCUGACUUAUCCCGGUGCCCCAGAAUGUGGCUGCCCCAGAGCCUCACUGAAUCGCCUGUUGCCCAGGGCAGCUUGUCCCCAAAGGCUGGAGUGCAGCGCUGAUCUCAACAGAAUCCAAGAAUAAUUACAUCAAUUGACAACUGAGUGUAAACCUGGCUUGGACACUGCUCUGCGUGUUUCCUCCUGGACCCAGUCCUCUUUGACACAGAGUCUGGGAGAGUCACGAGAAAGAGGAGUGCAGGGAAACACGAGAAACCAUCUGUUCCCAGCCUGUGAUCAGCUGAGCUGGGGAGCUGCCCAUACCUGAGAAAUGGUCAUUGAUUAAGAAAUGUAUUCCUUUAGAAUUCAAGUUCAUAUCGUGUCAGCCACAGUUCUUAAAGAGUUUCCAAUCCAAAGCCUUAGUCUGAACCACAAACCCAACACCUUUAUGCUGGGAUACUAGAAAUCCACUUAUUUUCACUCAGAAAAUAACUAAAUUAGUAGUAGAAUCAGACUUUUGUGGAGUAUAAAUUAACAAAGCCCAGAGCAGAUUUUUCCCUGCAAGGAAAGUAUUAAUGAUCCCUACUGGGCUGAUAACUAGCCAUUAAUUACCUAUUAACAUUUGACUAAAUUCCUUAUGUUCUUUAGUUGUAUGUAUGUCAGUCUGGGGUAAUGGGUAUUUCUUAGACAUCACUGCUGUUGUAGUAUUCCGGGAUAGGUAAAAACAGGGCAGCAUUUACCCAAUUUGCUAUAAAAAUAAUUUCAGUUACAGCCUGUCAUUUUCUUUCUACCCUGAGACAAGAUUUUCUGAGUAUAAGGAGAUGAUUCUGUUUAUUAAGCUGGACAAGAAUAGAUGUUAAAAGUCACUCACAGUUAUACUGACAGUUGAAUAUGCCUUCCAUUCCAAAAUUUGAACAAAUUGUGACUUAAAAGGUACAGUAGUUGGAGUAAAAUUUAAAAACUUGAUGUCAG